AUUUGAAAGCUGCCCUCCUCUGUCCUGGAGUGCUUAAAGGAAUGGCUUUGGACAUGUUUUGCAAAUCCAGAGGAAUCACAAUGCCAGCUGUAUUAGCAGGGGAGAACCCAGAGUAUGGAAAAAGAUGCCUGCUCUUCUCAAACAUCCUCCCAAUUUGCAGGCUAUAGGAAGAGAGACCUCUCAGCUAAACAACCAUCAUGACAAGAGGACAGCCAAGAAACUACACACAGGUAAAGUAAGGAGAAAUAUGGAAGAACCUGCAAUAAAGUGGUCAUCAGACUGGCCCUGAAGACAAGAAAUAUGAGGUCCUCCGUGGCUUUUCACCUCAGCGUUGGUUUGUUUGAUAUUGCUGUCUCCAGCUUUUAGGCUAUAUCCAAAAAAAGAAAAGAAAAGAAAAAUGAUACCUUAUUAUAGCCCAGGAGAACAAUGCUGCGAAAUUGAGCUGCUGCCAAA
rnacentral:lncRNA from 1 species